AGCAGCCGCGGUAAUUCCAGCUCCAAUAGCGUAUAUUAAAGUUGUUGCAGUUAAAAAGCUCGUAGUUGAAUUUCGGGAUCAGUUCGCUGGUCGUGCCUUCGGUAUGUACUGGUGUUACUGGUUCCUACCUUCUGACGAACCGUCAUGUCAUUAAUUUGGUGUGGCGGGAAAUCAGGACUGUUACUUUGAAAAAAUUAGAGUGUUUAAAGCAGGCUCGCGCUUGAAUACAUUAGCAUGGAAUAAUGAAAUAGGACGUUUGAUCCUAUUUUGUUGGUUUCUAGGAUUGACGUAAUGAUUAAUAGGGAUAGUUGGGGGCAUUAGUAUUCAAUUGUCAGAGGUGAAAUUCUUGGAUUUAUUGAAGACUAACUACUGCGAAAGCAUUUGCCAAGGAUGUUUUCAUUAAUCAAGAACGAAAGUUAGGGGAUCGAAGACGAUCAGAUACCGUCGUAGUCUUAACCAUAAACUAUAGCCGACUAGGGAUCGGAUGAUGUAAUUUUAAUGACUCAUUCGGCGCCUUAAC
rnacentral:rRNA from 1 species